UACAGAGACUGCAAGCGUUAUUCGGAUUCACUGGGCGUAAAGGGUGCGUAGGUGGCGCCGUAAGUCAGGUGUGAAAUUUCGGAGCUUAACUCCGAAACUGCAUUUGAUACUGCGGUGCUUGAGGACUGGAGAGGAGACUGGAAUUCACGGUGUAGCAGUGAAAUGCGUAGAUAUCGUGAGGAAGACCAGUGGCGAAGGCGGGUCUCUGGACAGUUCCUGACACUGAGGCACGAAGGCCAGGGGAGCAAACGGG
rnacentral:rRNA from 1 species